rnacentral:rRNA from 1 species
GACGAACGCUGGCGGCGUGCUUAACACAUGCAAGUCGAACGGAAAGGCCCUGCUUUUGUGGGGUGCUCGAGUGGCGAACGGGUGAGUAACACGUGAGUAACCUGCCCUUGACUUUGGGAUAACUUCAGGAAACUGGGGCUAAUACCGGAUAGGAGCUCCUGCUGCAUGGUGGGGGUUGGAAAGUUUCGGUGGUUGGGGAUGGACUCGCGGCUUAUCAGCUUGUUGGUGGGGUAGUGGCUUACCAAGGCUUUGACGGGUAGCCGGCCUGAGAGGGUGACCGGCCACAUUGGGACUGAGAUACGGCCCAGAGUCCUACGGGAGGCAGCAGUGGGGAAUAUUGCACAGUGGGAGGAAGCCUGAUGCAGCAACGCCGCGUGCGGGAUGACGGCCUUCGGGUUGUAAACCGCUUUCGCCUGUGACGAAGCGUGAGUGACGGUAAUGGGUAAAGAAGCACCGGCUAACUACGUG